UACGGAGGGUGCAAGCGUUAUCCGGAUUCACUGGGUUUAAAGGGUGCGUAGGUGGGCAGGUAAGUCAGUGGUGAAAUCUCUGGGCUUAACCCGGAAAUUGCCAUUGAUACUAUAUAUCUUGAAUGCUGUGGAGGUAAGCGGAAUAUGUCAUGUAGCGGUGAAAUGCUUAGAGAUGACAUAGAACACCUAUUGCGAAGGCAGCUUACUACGCAGAUAUUGACGCUCAUGCACGAAAGCGUGGGGAUCAAACAGG
rnacentral:rRNA from 1 species